GGAUGCGAUCAUACCAGCACUAAAGCACCGGAUCCCAUCAGAACUCCGAAGUUAAGGGUGCUUGGGCGAGAGUAGUACUAGGAUGGGUGACCUCCUGGGAAGUCCUUGUGUUGCAUUCC
rnacentral:rRNA from 1 species